GGACCUUAAUGUAGACCAAUUUGAAACGGGACCAAAAAUUAAGAAUCUACAUUCACAGUUAGAUUCGGCAUAUCAAACAACCCCAAUUAUUCAAUUUUGAUGAAAUCAAACAAAGUUUAAUUUUGACCCUUUGGGUCCGUAAUUACUAAACUGUUGGGACCAAAACUCCCAAAAUCAAUCACAACCUUCCUUUUAUGGUCAUAAACCUUGUGUUUAAAUUUCAUAGAUUUCUAUUUACUUAUACUAAAGUUAUGGUGCGAAAACCAAGAAAAAUGCUUAAUUGGGC
rnacentral:lncRNA from 1 species